rnacentral:rRNA from 1 species
GAUGAACGCUAGCUACAGGCUUAACACAUGCAAGUCGAGGGGAAACGAUAGAGAAAGCUUGCUUUUUCUAGGCGUCGACCGGCGCACGGGUGAGUAACGCGUAUCCAACCUGCCCAUCACUUGGGGAUAACCUUGCGAAAGUAAGACUAAUACCCAAUGACGUCUCUAGAAGACAUCUGAAGGAGAUUAAAAGAUUUAUCGGUGAUGGAUGGGGAUGCGUCUGAUUAGCUUGUUGCGGGGUAACGCCCACCAAGGCGACGAUCAGUAGGGGUUCUGAGAGGGAAGGUCCCCCCACAUUGGGAACUGAGACACGGUCCAAAACUCCUACGGGAGGCAGCAGU